UCGCCUCGAAAACCCGAGAUCCUCUCUCCAAGCAUCCUAGACUUUCCAGCCCUCGCUCUCAGCCCAGUGACUCCCUUAAUACCUGACCCCUUUGACCGAUCUGGAGCAGCAAAUUACAGUAACUGUUAUUGUCCCGUGAAUAAUCCUAACAGAAACCACAACAAUAACAGUGUGAAUGGUAAUCUAUUAGAUGCUGGUGCAGAGGAGAAAGCAAUCAAAGAGAAGGGCUUUUACUUGCA
rnacentral:misc_RNA from 1 species